rnacentral:rRNA from 1 species
CCUACGGGAGGCUGCAGUGAGGAAUAUUGGUCAAUGGACGAGAGUCUGAACCAGCCAAGUAGCGUGAAGGAUGACUGCCCUAUGGGUUGUAAACUUCUUUUAUAAAGGAAUAAAACGAGGCACGUGUGCCUUUUUGCAUGUACUUUAUGAAUAAGGAUCGGCUAACUCCGUGCCAGCAGCCGCGGUAAUACGGAGGAUCCGAGCGUUAUCCGGAUGUAUUGGGUUUAAAGGGAGCGUAGAUGGGUUGGUAAGUCAGUUGUGAAAGUUUGCGGCUCAACCGUAAAAUUGCAAUUGAUACUGGCAGUCUUGAGUACAGUUGAGGUAGGCGGAAUUCGUGGUGUAGCGGUGAAAUGCUUAGAUAUCACGAAGAACCCCGAUUGCGAAGGCAGCUUACUAAACUGUGACUGACAUUGAUGCUCGAAAGUGUGGGUAUCAAACAGGAUUAGAUACCCUAGUAGUC